rnacentral:rRNA from 1 species
AGGUUAAGUUAACAAGGGCGCAUGGUGAAUGCCUUGGCACUAGGAGCCGAUGAAGGACGGGACUAACACCGAUAUGCUUCGGGGAGCUGUACGUAAGCUAUGAUCCGGAGAUUUCCGAAUGGGGCAACCCAGCAGUUUUAAUCAACUGUUACCACUAGAUGAAUUCAUAGUCUAGUUGGAGGUAAACGCUGUGAACUGAAACAUCUCAUUAGCAGCAGGAAUAUAAAGAAAUUUCGAUUCCCUAAGUAGCGGCGAGCGAACGGGGAACAGCCCAAACCAAAGUGCUUGCACUUUGGGGUUGUAGGACUGAACAUUUGAGUUACCAAAGAACUUGAUAGUCGAAGGAUUUGGGAAAAUCCGCCAUAGAUGGUGAUAGCCCAGUAGAUUAAAUCAAAUUCUCUCAGUUCAGGAUCCUGAGUACGGCGGAACACGUGAAAUUCCGUCGGAAUCCGGGAGGACCAUCUCCCAAGGCUAAAUACUACCUAGUGACCGAUAGUGAACCAGUACCGUGAGGGAAAGGUGAAAAGCACCCCGGGAGGGGAGUGAAAUAGUUCCUGAAACCAUGUGCCUACAAUAAGUCAGAGCGCGUUAAUGCGUGAUGGCGUGCCUUUUGUAGAAUGAACCGGCGAGUUAUGAUCCCGUGCAAGGUUAAGACUAAAAAGUCGGAGCCGUAGCGAAAGCGAGUCUGAAGUGGGCGUUUUGAGUACGAGGUUAUAGACCCGAAACCAGGUGACCUAUCCAUGUCCAGGUUGAAGGUGCGGUAAAACGCACUGGAGGACCGAACCCGUGUAAGUUGAAAAUUGCUGGGAUGAGGUGUGGAUAGCGGUGAAAUUCCAAACGAACUUGGAGAUAGCUGGUUCUCUCCGAAAUAGCUUUAGGGCUAGCCUCGGAAUUAGGAUCAUGGAGGUAGAGCACUAUUUGGACUAGGGGCCCGUCUUGGGUUACUGAAUUCAGAUAAACUCCGAAUGCCAUUGAUUCAUAUCCGGGAGUCAGACGAUGAGUGAUAAGAUCCACCGUCGAAAGGGGAACAGCCCAGACCAUCAGUUAAGGUCCCUAAAUGUAUGCUAAGUGGAAAAGGAUGUGGAGUUGCAUAGACAACUAGGAUGUUGGCUCAGAAGCAGCCACCAUUUAAAGAGUGCGUAAUAGCUCACUAGUCGAGUGAUCCUGCGCCGAAAAUGUACCGGGGCUAAGCAUACUACCGAAACCAUGGAUGCGACCAAUAGGUCGCGUGAUAGGAGAGCGUUCUAAGGGCGGUGAAGCAAGAUCGUGAGGACUUGUGGAGCGCUUAGAAGUGAGAAUGCCGGUAUGAGUAGCGAAAGAUAGGUGAGAAUCCUAUCCACCGAAUGACUAAGGUUUCCUGGGGAAGGCUCGUCCUCCCAGGGUUAGUCGGGACCUAAGUCGAGGCCGAGAGGCGUAGACGAUGGAUAACAGGUUGAGAUUCCUGUACUAGUUAAGUGCGUUUGAGCAAUGGAGGGACGCAGGAGGCUAAGAUGUGCAUUCUGUUGGAUUAGAAUGUCCAAGCAGUAAGUCUUGUGAAGAGUCAAAUGCUUUUCACUUUAAGGACAAGCUGUGAUGGGGAGCGAAAUUUAGUAGCGAAGCGUCUGAUGUCACACUGCCGAGAAAAGCUUCUAGUGAGUACUUAACUACCCGUACCGCAAACCGACACAGGUAGUCGAGGAGAGAAUCCUAAGGUGAGCGAGUGAACUCUCGUUAAGGAACUCGGCAAAAUGACCCCGUAACUUCGGGAGAAGGGGUGCUGAUCGCAAGAUCAGCCGCAGUGAAUAGGCCCAGGCGACUGUUUAUCAAAAACACAGGUCUCUGCAAAAUCGUAAGAUGACGUAUAGGGGCUGACGCCUGCCCGGUGCUGGAAGGUUAAAAGGAUGGGUUAGCUUCGGCGAAGCUCAGAAUUGAAGCCCCAGUAAACGGCGGCCGUAACUAUAACGGUCCUAAGGUAGCGAAAUUCCUUGUCGGGUAAGUUCCGACCCGCACGAAAGGCGUAACGAUCUGGGCGCUGUCUCAACGAGAGACUCGGUGAAAUUAUAUUGUCCGUGAAGAUGCGGACUACCCGCGACAGGACGGAAAGACCCCAUGGAGCUUUACUGUAGCUUGAUAUUGAGUGUUUGUACAGCUUGUACAGGAUAGGUAGGAGCCAUAGAAACCGGAACGCUAGUUUCGGUGGAGGCGUUGGUGGGAUACUACCCUCGCUGUAUGACCACUCUAACCCGCACCACUAAUCGUGGUGGGAGACAGUGUCAGGUGGGCAGUUUGACUGGGGCGGUCGCCUCCUAAAAAGUAACGGAGGCGCCCAAAGGUUCCCUCAGAAUGGUUGGAAAUCAUUCGCAGAGUGUAAAGGCACAAGGGAGCUUGACUGCGAGACAGACAGGUCGAGCAGGGACGAAAGUCGGGCUUAGUGAUCCGGUGGUACCGUAUGGAAGGGCCAUCGCUCAACGGAUAAAAGCUACCCUGGGGAUAACAGGCUUAUCUCCCCCAAGAGUCCACAUCGACGGGGAGGUUUGGCACCUCGAUGUCGGCUCAUCGCAUCCUGGGGCUGUAGUCGGUCCCAAGGGUUGGGCUGUUCGCCCAUUAAAGCGGUACGCGAGCUGGGUUCAGAACGUCGUGAGACAGUUCGGUCCCUAUCCGUCGCGGGCGUAGGAAAUUUGAGAGGACCUGUCCUUAGUACGAGAGGACCGGGAUGGACAUACCUCUGGUGUACCAGUUGUGCCGCCAGGCGCAUCGCUGGGUAGCUACGUAUGGAUGUGAUAAACGCUGAAAGCAUCUAAGUGUGAAACACACCUCGAGAUGAGAUUUCCCAUUCCUUUAUGGAAGUAAGACCCCUGAAAGAUGAUCAGGUAGAUAGGUUAGAAGUGGCAGUGCGGUGACGCAUGAAGCGGACUAAUACUAAUCGGUCGAGGACUUAACCAAG